rnacentral:rRNA from 1 species
CCUACGGGGGGCAGCAGUGAGGAAUAUUGGUCAAUGGACGGAAGUCUGAACCAGCCAUGCCGCGUGCAGGAAGACGGCUCUAUGAGUUGUAAACUGCUUUUGUACAAGGGUAAACCUGAAUACGUGUAUUCAGCUGAAAGUACUGUACGAAUAAGGAUCGGCUAACUCCGUGCCAGCAGCCGCGGUAAUACGGAGGAUCCAAGCGUUAUCCGGAUUUAUUGGGUUUAAAGGGUGCGUAGGCGGAUUGAUAAGUUAGAGGUGAAAUGUUCGAGCUUAACUCGGGAACUGCCUGUAAUACUGGUGGUCUAGAGAGUAGAUGCGGUAGGCGGAAUGUAUGGUGUAGCGGUGAAAUGCUUAGAGAUCAUACAGAACACCGAUUGCGAAGGCAGCUUACCAAUCUAUAUCUGACGUUGAGGCACGAAAGCGUGGGGAGCAAACAGGAUUAGAUACCCGGGUAGUC